rfam:Lutibacter sp. BRH_c52 BRHa_1006381, whole genome shotgun sequence.
ACUCAACAUUAUACCUUUAUAAAGGAUAAGUCUCAAUUGUAAAAGCAUGCCGUUUUUAACGGAUCCUUGAUCAAUUAGUUAGUCCUAAACUUGUUUAAAGGAGUUU